GGGUGAGUAAUGCAUAGGAUCUGCCGGUAGUGGGGGAUAACCUGGGGAAACCCAGGCUAAUACCGCAUACGUCCUACGGGAGAAAGGGGGCUCCGGCUCCCGCUAUUGGAUGAGCCUAUGUCGGAUUAGCUAGUUGUGAGGUAAUGGCUCACCAAGGCGACGAUCCGUAGCUGGUCUGAGAGGAGAUCAGCCACAUCGGACUGAGAACGGCCCGAACUCCUACGGGAGGCAGCAGUGGGGAAUAUUGGACAAUGGGCGAAACCUGAUCCAGCCAUGCCGCGUGUGUGAAGAAGGCCCUCGGUUGUAAAGCACUUUCGCGAGGAAGAACGCCUAGUGGUUAAUACCCACAGGAAGAAUCACUCGCAGAAGAAGCACCGGCUAACUCCGUGCCAGCAGCCGCGGUAAUACGGAGGGUGCAAGCGUUAAUCGGAAUUACUGGGCGUAAAGCGGCGUCGUGGCUUGAUAAGCCGUUGUGAAAGCCCGGCUCAACUGGGAACGGCAUCCGGAACUGUCAAGCUAGAGUGCAGGAGAGGAAGGUAGAAUUCCCGGUGUAGCGGUGAAAUGCGUAGAGAUGGGAGGAAUACAGUGGCGAAGGCGGCCUUCUGGACUGACACUGACACUGAGUGCGAAACGUGGGUAGCAAACAGGAUUAGAUACCCUGGUAGUCCACGCCGUAAACGAUGUCGACCAGCCGUGGGGCCUAGCGCACUUGUGGCGAGUUAACGCGAUAAGUCGACCGCCUGGGGAGUACGCCGCAAGGUUAAAACUCAAAUGAAUUGACGGGGGCCCGCACAAGCGGUGGAGCAUGUGGUUUAAUUCGAUGCAACGCAAGAACCUUACCUACUCUUGACUCUGCGACUUGUGAGAGACACUUGGUGCCUCGGGAACGCAGAGACAGGUGCUGCAUGGCUGUCGUCAGCUUGUUGUGAAAUGUUGGGUUAAGUCCCGUAACGAGCGCAACCCUUGUCCUUAUUUGCCAGCGCGUAAUGGCGGGACUCUAAGGAGACUGCCGGUGACAAACCGGAGGAAGGUGGGGACGACGUCAAGUCAUCAUGGCCCUUACGAGUAGGGCACACACGUGCUACAAGGUACAAAGGGUUGGAGCUCGCGAAGUCAGCUAAUCCCGAAAAGCCGGUCUCAGUCCGAUCGGAGUCUGCAACUCGACUCCGUGAAGUCGGAAUCGCUAGAAUCGUGAAUCAGAAUGUCACGGUGAUACGUUCCCGGGCCUUGUACACACCGCCCGUCACACCAUGGGAGUGGAUGCACCAGAAGUGGUUAGCUUAACCUUCGGGAAAGCGAUCACCCGGUGUGGUUCAUGCUGGGGUGAAGUCGUAACAAGGUAGCCGUAGGGGAACCU
rnacentral:rRNA from 1 species